rnacentral:rRNA from 1 species
CCUACGGGGAGCAGCAGUGAGGAAUAUUGGUCAAUGGACGCAAGUCUGAACCAGCCAUGCCGCGUGCAGGAAGACGGCUCUAUGAGUUGUAAACUGCUUUUGUACGAGGGUAAACGCAGAUACGCGUAUCUGUCUGAAAGUAUCGUACGAAUAAGGAUCGGCUAACUCCGUGCCAGCAGCCGCGGUAAUACGGAGGAUUCAAGCGUUAUCCGGAUUUAUUGGGUUUAAAGGGUGCGUAGGCGGUCGGAUAAGUUAGAGGUGAAAUCCCGAGGCUCAACUUCGGAAUUGCCUCUGAUACUGUCCGGCUAGAGAGUAGUUGCGGUAGGCGGAAUGUAUGGUGUAGCGGUGAAAUGCGUAGAGAUCAUACAGAACACCGAUUGCGAAGGCAGCUUACCAAGCUACUUCUGACGUUGAGGCACGAAAGCGUGGGGAGCAAACAGGAUUAGAUACCCGGGUAGUC